rnacentral:tRNA from 1 species
GCGAUCUGGGCGGUGUUGAGGGCCGCGCCCUUGCGGAGGUUGUCGCCGGUGACGAAGAAGUCGAGGGCGCGCGGGUCGUCCAGGGCGCG